GGCUGAAACUCGAACUGUCACCUUUAUGGAUGGCGUUUCCGAUAAACCUGCCUAUCGGUAGACAAGGUCGGAAUAGGGUUUCAGUUUUUA
rnacentral:ncRNA from 1 species